CUUAAAACGUGAUAUAGCUAUAUUUCAAUUAUAAAACCUAGUUUUUAGCAUAAUUUAAUGAAAAGAUGAUCUCCUGAUAUUCUUUAAAGAUAUUACUACCUAUCUUUGAUAACCCUCAGUUUUGACAAUACAAGUAACAUUUGAGUCUCAAAACAAGAUUCGGAAUGACUUAUUAAAUUUGGAGCCUGAAAAAAUCUUUCGUAAAUUAUUUAUUUACUCAGGGCUAGCUAGCGCUGUUACUAAAUAGAAAUAUAGGCUUCUCAAAAGGUUUACACAAAUUUAAUGAAAUUGUUUAUUGAUCUAAAUUCCCGAGUUAGUAAAUCUAAAUCAUAAAUCCUGUAGAGUAAUAGUAAUAAAGUUUUUUGCAACCGAUAAGAUCACUUUGAAAAUGAUUAAAUACAAGAAAUAUAAGCUUUUAUCUCACUCCACUUUAGUAAAGUUGGCAGAAGAAGAAGAAUGGAAUCAGAAUAGGAAGAGAGGGACAAUAUAUAUGAAUAAGAAUCACAAGUGGAAUACAAAAUCACAAGCUGUAUUUUCUUUCUAGUUUGCAUAUGAAUCAUUUCAAAAGAAGCAAAAAUGCAAGAGUAGAAAAGAUGAAGGAAGAGGAAGAGCAGUUAACAAAUUUAGCCACGGCAGUGUUGGCGGAGGCGGCAAUCCUGGGGCUUCCGGCGGGAGAGGGGCAAGAAAUGGAGGAUCACACGUGCCCAGUGGUGGUGGUGUGACGCCGCUGUAUGCAGCAGCCGGUGGAGGUAAUAACAACCACCACCCUCACCGCGGCGGAGGAAACCGAGACACAAGGGGAGCAGGGCCGGAGACAUUGGCCAUAAUUACAUUUGCAUGCUUUCUAAUUCUACUCUGUAUUAGUUAACCACUACUACUAUUUUUUUUUAAAAUUUUGAGAUGCUUAAAAACAAGAAAAAUGUCUGUAUGUGUGCGUCUUUUUAUGCUAGUGUGUUCAUUCAAAUGUACAAAAUAAUGGUUUAUGUAACGUAAAUUGGCUAUUUUAUGAGUAGGGUCCUGGUCCUAGUCCUAGUGAAUUUUAUAUUUGGUAUUAUUUGAGUAAUUUUUAUUGGGUGUAUUGUGAUAUGAUAUGAUGUAAGUGUUGAAUAAUUUGAGAAAAUGGGCAUGAUACCUAACAUGCUUUGGUG